CGAAGCUGUUCCCGUCGAAAGCCAGAGAGAGCCCGGUGGCGGCGGUCAGCACCACGUCGGCGCCACUCAGGGUGACGCUGCGAGUGUAGCUGACGGCCUGGCUGCCCCGGUGCUCAUUGACUACAGUGACCGUGAAGUUCUCGACACCCUUGGGUGGUGCAGAGCAAGGCGCACUCAGCAGGCCUAGGUGAAGAGAGAGCCCUCAGCUCCUAACUGUGGCUGGCAGGACCCCUCUCCCCAACUAGGGGGUUCAAGAGACCAUCCUGCAGAACUUACCCGGACUUUGCCGAUCUCGCCUUUGUGGAUGGAGAU